UACGAAGGGGGCUAGCGUUGUUCGGAAUUACUGGGCGUAAAGCGCGCGCAGGCGGUUCUCCAAGUCAGGGGGGAAAGCCCGGAGCUCAACUCCGGAACUGCCAUUGAAACUGUUGAACUUGAGGACGAGAGAGGUGAGUGGAAUUCCCAGUGUAGAGGUGAAAUUCGUAGAUAUUGGGAAGAACACCAGUGGCGAAGGCGGCUCACUGGCUCGUAUCUGACGCUCAGGCGCGAUAGCGUGGGGAUCAAACAGG
rnacentral:rRNA from 1 species